AUGAUUUGGGAAGAUCAGCCAAAGAGAGUAAUAGCCUCGUAUUUAAAAUAGUCUUUGUACUUAGCAGUAUCCUGAGUACGGCGGGACACGUGAAAUCCCGUCGGAAUCUGGGAGGACCAUCUCCCAACCCUAAAUACUCCCUAGUGACCGAUAGUGAACCAGUACCGUGAGGGAAAGGUGAAAAGCACCCCGGGAGGGGAGUGAAAUAGAACCUGAAACCGUGUGCCUACAACAAGUUCGAGCCCGUUAAUGGGUGAGAGCGUGCCUUUUGUAGAAUGAACCGGCGAGUUACGUUAUGAUGCGAGGUUAAGUUGAAGAGACGGAGCCGUAGGGAAACCGAGUCUGAAUAGGGCACCUUAGUAUCAUGACGUAGACCCGAAACCAUGUGACCUACCCAUGAGCAGGUUGAAGGUGCGGUAAGACGCACUGGAGGACCGAACCAGGGCACGUUGAAAAGUGCUUGGAUGACUUGUGGGUAGCGGAGAAAUUCCAAACGAACUUGGAGAUAGCUGGUUCUCUCCGAAAUAGCUUUAGGGCUAGCGUCGACAUUAGAGAUUCUUGGAGGUAGAGCACUGUUUGGGUGAGGGGUCCAUCCCGGAUUACCAAUCUCAGAUAAACUCCGAAUGCCAAUGAAUUAUGGUCGGCAGUCAGACUGCGAGUGCUAAGAUCCGUAGUCGAAAGGGAAACAGCCCAGACCACCAGCUAAGGUCCCAAAAUAAUUGUUAAGUGGAAAAGGAUGUGGGGUUGCACAGACAACUAGGAUGUUAGCUUAGAAGCAGCUAUUCAUUCAAAGAGUGCGUAAUAGCUCACUAGUCGAGUGACCCUGCGCCGAAAAUGUACCGGGGCUAAAACAAUUUACCGAAGCUGUGGAUACCUUUAUAGGUAUGGUAGGAGAGCGUUCUAUGUGUGAUGAAGGUAUACCGUGAGGAGUGCUGGAACGCAUAGAAGUGAGAAUGCCGGUAUGAGUAGCGAAAGACAGGUGAGAAUCCUGUCCACCGUAAGACUAAGGUUUCCAGGGGAAGGCUCGUCCGCCCUGGGUUAGUCGGGACCUAAGGAGAGACCGAAAGGUGUAUCCGAUGGACAACAGGUUGAUAUUCCUGUACUAGAGUAUGUAGUGAUGGAGGGACGCAGUAGGCUAACUAAAGCAGACGAUUGGAAGAGUCUGUCUAAGCAGUGAGGUGUGAAUUGAGUCAAAUGCUUAAUUCUAUAACAUUGAGCUGUGAUGGGGAGCGAAGUUUAGUAGCGAAGUUAGUGACGUCACACUGCCAAGAAAAGCUUCUAGCGUUUAACCAUACUCUACCCGUACCGCAAACCGACACAGGUAGUCGAGGCGAGUAGCCUCAGGUGAGCGAGAGAACUCUCGUUAAGGAACUCGGCAAAAUGACCCCGUAACUUCGGGAGAAGGGGUGCUGACUUUAAGUCAGCCGCAGUGAAUAGGCCCAAGCAACUGUUUAUCAAAAACACAGCUCUCUGCUAAAUCGUAAGAUGAUGUAUAGGGGGUGACGCCUGCCCGGUGCUGGAAGGUUAAGAGGAGUGCUUAGCGUAAGCGAAGGUAUGAAUUGAAGCCCCAGUAAACGGCGGCCGUAACUAUAACGGUCCUAAGGUAGCGAAAUUCCUUGUCGGGUAAGUUCCGACCCGCACGAAAGGCGUAAUGAUUUGGGCACUGUCUCAACGAGAGACUCGGUGAAAUUUUAGUACCUGUGAAGAUGCAGGUUACCCGCGACAGGACGGAAAGACCCCAUGGAGCUUUACUGCAGUUUGAUAUUGAGUGUCUGUACCACAUGUACAGGAUAGGUAGGAGUCUAAGAGAUCGGGACGCCAGUUUCGAAGGAGACGCUGUUGGGAUACUACCCUUGUGUUAUGGCCACUCUAACCCAGAUAGGUGAUCCCUAUCGGAGACAGUGUCUGACGGGCAGUUUGACUGGGGCGGUCGCCUCCUAAAAGGUAACGGAGGCGCCCAAAGGUUCCCUCAGAAUGGUUGGAAAUCAUUCGCAGAGUGUAAAGGUAUAAGGGAGCUUGACUGCGAGAGCUACAACUCGAGCAGGGACGAAAGUCGGGCUUAGUGAUCCGGUGGUUCCGUAUGGAAGGGCCAUCGCUCAACGGAUAAAAGCUACCCUGGGGAUAACAGGCUUAUCUCCCCCAAGAGUUCACAUCGACGGGGAGGUUUGGCACCUCGAUGUCGGCUCGUCGCAUCCUGGGGCUGUAGUCGGUCCCAAGGGUUGGGCUGUUCGCCCAUUAAAGCGGCACGCGAGCUGGGUUCAGAACGUCGUGAGACAGUUCGGUCCCUAUCCGUCGCGGGCGUAGGAAAUUUGAGAGGAUCUGCUCCUAGUACGAGAGGACCAGAGUGGACUUACCGCUGGUGUACCAGUUGUCUUGCCAAAGGCAUCGCUGGGUAGCUAUGUAGGGAAGGGAUAAACGCUGAAAGCAUCUAAGUGUGAAACCCACCUCAAGAUGAGAUUUCCCAUGAUUAUAUAUCAGUAAGAGCCCUGAGAGAUGAUCAGGUAGAUAGGUUAGAAGUGGAAGUGUGGCGACACAUGUAGCGGACUAAUACUAAUAGCUCGAGGACUUAUCCAA
rnacentral:rRNA from 1 species